rfam:Fukomys damarensis contig77439, whole genome shotgun sequence.
GGGGAUAUAGCUCAGUGGUAGAGCAUGUACUUAGUAUGUGCAAGGCUCUGUGUUCAGUUCUCAGUACCA